UCUUUGAGGCUAGCAUGAGCACCCUUCAAGACUUUGUGAGCCUUGUCAAGUAGAUCAAACUCCUCAAGAUCAACCUCAAGUUCGGCCUUCUCGGAGUUUAGCACACGGGAAACAAUGAGAACAUGAUCAAAAUCUUUCUUUAACUUAGCAUGAUCAACGUUGUGUGACUCCUCAAGAGCCAAACAAAGACCACGCUCUUCCUCAAGAGCAUUGGAAAGAUCCGAGAUCUCAUCGGCAUAGUCACGACUAUGCCCUUCCAUCUUAGAGAUGGUAUCUUCGUGAGCCUCGAUCAUGUCAUUGGCUUCAACAAGUUGUUCCAAGAGAGCAACAAAGUGCUUCUUGGAUUUACCCUUAAGUUUGCCCAUAAAGGCCUCAAACUCAUUCACCUCCACAUUAGCUCCCUCAUCUUCAUCAAUGCUAUCGGUCGAAGAAGGAUGAUUAAUGAUGGUAGUUUUGAUGUUGGGGGGUACCUUGUUGGUGGCUUUAGCCAUGAGACACUUGGCGGUGAUGCUCUCAUUGAGUGAGUCGAAGAGAGACACCCGUGGAGUCGUCGCAAUGGCAACUGAGGCCAUGGCAACCGACUCACCAUCUUCAUCAUCGUCAUCAUCCUCAUUGUACUCUUCUUGUACCACCAAUGCCUUGGGAGGAGUCUUCUUGGUGAAGUUGCUCUUGUUGGGAAACGACUUGGCCUUGUCCUUUCGGACGAGCUUGCCACCAUUGUCUUCCCUCUUCUCAUACGGGCACUCCGCAACAAAAUGACUCACAUUGCCACAAAUUGUAGCAAGUCCUUACACAUUGCUUGCUCUUCGUGCCACUUGAGUUGUUUUUGUUAAAGUUUGGCCUUGAGUUUUUCUUGCUCCAAAAUUGCCUUGAAGCAAGUGCCAUGUGUUCAUGAUAUGCAUACUUUGUAUCUUCGGGGUUGUUCUCCUCUUAUUCUUAUUCUUCAACGCAGACCUUGGCCUUCAAUGCAAGGUUGGGCUUCUUUGCCCUUUGAGAACGAAGAACCGCAUUGUCAGCGGUCUUGUCCAAGAUGUUCAUGGCCACAAACUCAUCCAAUACUUCGCUUGAGGUCAAAGUGUGGAAGUCCGGCCUUUGACGAAUGACGGAGGACAUGGCCUUGUGGUAAGGCAUCAUUGCCUUGAGGAAUUUGCACUUGAUCUAAUUGUCAUCCGUGUCCUUGCUCUCGUGAUCUCGGAGUGAGACCGCGAGUUUGGUUACUCUCUGAUAAAGCUCACGAGGUUCUUCAUAUUCUUUCAUUGCAAACUCAUCAGCUUCAUCUUGCACCACUUCAUAGUUGGAGCGUUGAAUGCUUGCGCUUCCCCGGUAGAGAGAGACAACACAAAGCCAUGCGUCUUUGGCCAAGGCGAAGGGCCGAAGAUGAGGUAGAUCUUCGGGUGGAAUUGCAUCUUGAAUGAUGAAGAGAGCAUUCUCAUUGAAUUGGUUAUCCACGGCUUCUCGAGGAGUGAAGUUGCUUGGAUCAUGCGGAUGGAAACCUUUUUCAAUGAUUCUCCAAAGAUUAGUGUUCACAUGAUUUAAAUGGCGCUUAAAGCGGUAAACCCAAGAAUCAAAGUACUCAUUUUUCACAAUCUUAGGGGGAGGACCGGCAUGAUUCAAAUGAGUGGAAGGAACCGGUCCACCAUAAACAAGUGGUGGUUCCACAUGAGCAAAUAUGCCGGUGCCAUUUUUACCACUAGAAGAAGGAGCCUUUUCACUACUAGCUUCCCCCUUGUCGGAGAUAGCAUUCGUCACCUUGUCGGUGGGAUCACCCACUUUCAACGGUGCGGUGGAUAGUUUAAGCCCUUCAAGGAAUUUAGUAAACAUGCUUUCAACCUCGGUCAUCAUGGAGGUUUUCAAUGUCUCCAAGGCCACAUUGAACUCCUCACGAGAGACCGAGGUUCCCCCAUCGCCUGUAGACGAGAUCGGAUUCACACCGGAGUGUUCCUCCACACCGGUAUCAACCAUACUCUUCGGACGGUAAAGUCCUUAAUAAAGAGACGAGGCUCUAAUACCAAUUGAAAUGAUCGAUAUGGUUGACUAGAGGGGGGUGAAUAGGCAACUAACAAUUUUUAGCUUUUCUUUAACAAUUUAAACUUUGCAUCAAAGUAGGUUGUCUAGAUAUGCAACUAGGUGAGCAACCUAUAUGAUGCAACAAAGAUUGGAACACAAGAAAGCAAGAGAUAUAUCACAAAUAAGCUUGCUCAAGUAAAGGCACGAGAUAACCAAGAGUGGAGCCGAUGGAGACGAGGAUGUGUUACCGAAGUUCCUUCCCUUUGAAGGGAAGUACGUCUCCGUUGGAGCGGUGUGGAGGCACAAUGCUCCCCAAGAAGCUGAUACGUCCAUUUUGCAUCAUGCUUUUAUAUCGAUAUUUAUUGCAUUAUGGACUAUUAUUUCACUUUAUGUCACAAUACUUAUGGCUAUUCUCUCUUAUUUUACAAGGUUUACAUAAGGAGGGAGAAUGCCGGCAGCUGGAAUUCUAGGCUGGAAAAGGAGCAAAUAUUAUAGACCUAUUCCGCGCAACUCCAAAAGUCCUGAAACUCCACGGAACAUCCUAAAAUAAAUAAAGAAAAAUCCUUGUCAAAGAUGAAGGCCAGGGGGCCCACACCCUUCUCACGAGGGUGGGGGGUGCGCCCCCCUAGGGUGCGCCCCCUACCUCGUGGGCCCCCUGGUGGCUCUCCGACGUCCAUCUUCUCCUAUAUGAGGUCUUUCGAUGAGAAAAAACGAAGAAGGAACUUUCCGGGACGAGACUCCGCCGCCACGAGGUGGAACCUUGGCGGAUCCAAUCUAGAGCUCCGGCAGAGCUAUUCUACCGGGGAUACUUCCCUCCGGGAGGGGGAAAUCAUCACCAUCAUCAUCACCAACGCUCCUCUCAUCGGGAGAGGGCAAUCUCCAUCAACAUCUUCACUAGCACCAUCCCAUCUCCAAACCCUAGUUCAUCUCUUGUAUCCAAUUCUUGUCUCAAAGUCCAGGAUUGGUGCUAGUAGGUUGCUAGUAGUGUUGAUUACUCCUUGUAGUUGAUGCUAGUUGGUUUAAUUGGUGGAAGAUCAUAUGUUCAGAUCCUAUAUGCAUAUUAUUACCCCUCUGGUUAUGAACAUGAAUAUGCUUUGUGAGUAAUUAUGUUUGUUCCUGAGGACAAGGGAGAAGUCUUGCUAUGAGUAGUCAUGUGAAUUUGGUAUUCGUUUGAUAUUUUGAUAAGAUGUAUGUUGUCUAGCCUCUAGUGGUGUUAUGUGAACGUCGACUACAUAACACUUCACCAUUAUUUGGGCCUAGAGGAAGGCAUUGGGAAGUAAUAAGUAGAUGAUGGGUUGCUAGAGUGACAGAAUCUUAAACCCUAGUUUAUGCGUUGCUUCGUAAGGGGCUGAUUUGGAUCCACAUGUUUCAUGCUAUGGUUAGGUUUACCUUAAUACUUUUGUUGUAGUUGCGGAUGCUUGCAAUAGAGGUUAAUCAUAAGUGGUAUGCUUGUUCAAGUAAGAACAGCACCCAAGCACCGGUCCACCCACAUAUCAAAUUAUCAAAGUAUCGAACACGAAUCAUAUGAACGUGAUGAAAACUAGCUUGACGAUAUUCUCAUGUGUCCUCGGGAGCGCUUUUCCUAUUAUAAGAGUUUGUUUCGGCUUGUCCUUUGCUACGAAAAGGAUUGGGCCACCUUGCUGCACUUUAUUUACUUUUGUUACUUGUUGCUUGUUACAAUCUAUCUUAUCACAAAACUAUCUGUUACCACUUAUUCAGUACUUGCAGAGAAUACCUUGCUGAAAACCGCUUAUCAUUUCCUUCUGCUCCUCGUUGGGUUCGACACUCUUACUUAUCGAAAGGACUACGAUAGAUCCCCUAUACUUGUGGGUCAUCAAGACUCUUUUUUGGAGCCGUUGUUGGGGAGUGUAGCGCCUUUGGUAGGUGGAAUUUGGUAAGGAAAAAUUUAUAUAGUGUGCUGAAAUCUACUGUCACUUGUUACUAUGGAAAGUAAUUCUCUGAGGGGCUUGUUCGGGGUAUCUUCACCCCGUCCAGUAGAGCAAAGAGUUGCUCCUCAACCUACUGAACCUAUUGAAAAUGAAACUCCUUUUGAAUUUCCUUCGGGUAUGAUGGAAAAACUGCUAGCUAACCCUUUUACAGGAGAUGGAACAAAACAUCAUGAUGAGCACUUAAUAUAUGUGGAUGAAGUAUGUGGAUUAUUUAAUCUUGCAGGUAUACCCGAUGAUGUUGCUAAGAGAAAGGUCUUCCCUUUAUCUUUGAAGGGAGACGCAUUGAUAUGGUAUAGGCUAUGUGAUGAUAUGAGAUCAUGGGACUAUAAAAGAUUGAAGCUAGAAUUUCAUCAAAAGUAUUACCCUAUGCAUCUUGUUCAUCGUGAUCGCAAUUAUAUAUAUAAUUUUUGGCCUCGCAGAGGAGAAAGCAUCGCUCAAGCUUGGGGGAGGCUUAAAUCAAUGUUAUAUUCAUGCCCCAAUCAUGAGCUCCCGAGAGAAAUAAUUAUGCAAAGUUUUUAUGCUCAGCUUUCUGAAAACAAUCGCACCAUGCUCGAUACUUCUUGUGCUGGCUCUUUUAUGAUGAAGAGUAUUGAAUUCAGAUGGAAUUUAUUGGAUAGAAUUAAACGCAACUCUGAAGAUUGGGACCUCGACGAAGGUAAGGAGUCAGGUAUGACACCUAAGUUUGAUUGUGUUAAAUCAUUUAUGGAUACCGAUAUUUUCCGUAAGUUUAGCACUAAAUAUGGACUUGACUCUGAGAUAGUAGCUUCUUUCUGUGAAUCCUUUGCUACUUAUGUUGAUCUCCCUAAGGAGAAGUGGUUUAAAUAUCAUCCUCCCAUAUAAGUAAAAGUAGCUGCACCUAUUAAAGUUGAAGAAAAGACCGUCACUUAUAAUGAUCCUAUUGUUCCUACUUCUUAUGUUGAGAAACCACCUUUCCCUGUUAGAAUAAAGGAUCAUGCUAAAGCUUUAACUGUUGUUCAUAAAAGCAAUAUUAGAACUUAUACACCUCCUAAGCAAGUUAAAGUAGAACCUAAUAUUGCUAUUGUUAAAGAUCUCUUGUCUGAUAAUAUUGAUGGGCAUGUUAUCCAGUUCGAAGGUGAAACCGCUAGAAUUGCUAAACCUUGUGAUAAAAAUAAACAUAGACCUAUGGUAGGCGUGCCAGUUAUUUCUGUUAAAAUAGGAGAUCAUUGUUAUCAUGGCUUAUGUGAUAUGGGUGCUAGUGCUAGUGUAAUACCUAUUGACUUAUAUGAAGAAAUUAAGAAUGAAAUUGCACCUGUUGAGUUACAAGAUAUUGAUGUCACAAUUAAACUUGCCAAUAGAGAUACUAUUUCACCAAUUGGGAUUGUUAGAGAUGUUGAAGUCUUGUGUGGGAAAACUAAAUAUCUUGCUGAUUUUCUUGUUCUUGGUUCCCCACAAGAUAGUUUUUGUCCCAUUAUAUUUGGUAGACCCUUCUUAAAUAUUGUCAAUGCUAUCCUAGAUUGCACAAAGAAUUUUGUUACUGUUGGCUUGGAUGAUAUGGUUCAUGAGUUUAAUUUCUCUAAAUUUAGUAAACAACAUCAUGAGGAAGAAUUACCUAGUAAAGAUGAAAUUAUUGAUCUUGCUUCUUUUUCCGUACCUCCUAGUGAUCCUUUAGAACAUUAUUUGCUAGACCAUGAAAAUGAUAUGUUCAUGAAUGAAAGAAGGGAAAUAAAUGAAGUAUUCUUUAAACAGGAACCUAUUCUGCAACACAAUUUGCCUGUUGAAAUUUUAGGGGAUCCUCCUCCACCCAAGAGUGAUCCCGUGUUUGAGCUUAAACCUUUGCCUGAUAAUCUUAAAUAUUCUUAUCUUGAUGAAAAUAAGAUAUAUCCUGUUAUUAUUAGUGCUAACCUUUCAUAGCAUGAAGAAGAAAGAUUAUUGAAAACUCUGAAGAAGCAUCGUGCUGCUAUUGGAUAUACUCUUAAUGAUCUUAAGGGCAUUAGUCCCACUCUAUGUCAACAUAAAAUAAAUUUGGAAGCAGAUGCCAAACUAGUUCGUGAUCCUCAACGACGUCUGAAUCCUAAAAUGAAAAAAGUGGUAAGAAAAGAAAUACUCAAGCUUCUGGAGGCAGGUAUAAUUUAUCCCGUUGCUGAUAGUGAGUGGGUAAGUCUUGUCCAUUGUGUCCCUAAGAAGGGAGGUAUUACUGUUGUUCCUAAUGAUAAAUAUGAAUUGAUUCCACAAAGAAUUAUCACAGGUUAUAGGAUGGUAAUUGAUUUCCGCAAAUUAAAUAAAGCUACUAAGAAAGAUCAUUACCCCUUACCUUUUUUUGAUCAAAUGCUAGAAAGAUUAUGCAAACAUACACACUAUUGCUUUCUAGAUGGUUAUUCUGGUUUCUCUCAAAUACCUGUGUCGGCUAGAGAUCAAUCAAAGACUACUUUUACAUGCCCUUUUGGUACUUUUGCUUAUAGACGUAUGCCUUUUGGUUUAUGUAAUGCACCUACUACCUUUUAAAGAUGCAUGAUGGCUAUAUUCUCUGACUUUUGUGAGAAGAUUUGUGAGGUUUUCAUGGACGACUUUUCGGUCUAUGGUUCCUCUUUUGAUUAUUGCUUGAGCAAUCUUGAUCGAGUUUUGCAGAGAUGUGAAGAAACUAAUCUUGUCUUGAAUUGGGAAAAGUGCCACUUUAUGGUUAAUGAAGGUAUUGUCUUGGGGCACAAAGUUUCUGAAAGAGGUAUUGAAGUUGAUAAAGCCAAGGUUAAUGCUAUUGAAAAGAUGCCAUGUCCCAAGGACAUCAAAGGUAUAAGAAGUUUCCUUGGUAACGCCGGAUUUUACAGGAGGUUCAUGUUGGAAAUAUGCCCUAGAGGCAAUAAUAAAAGCAUUAUUAUUAUAUUUCCUUGUUCAUGAUAAUUGUCUUUAUUCAUGCUAUAAUUGUGUUAUCCGGAAAUUGUAAUACAUGUGUGAAUAACAGACACCAACAUGUCCCUAGUGAGCCUCUAGUUGACUAGCUCCUUGAUCAACAGAUAGUCAUGGUUUCCUGACUAUGGACACUGGAUGUCAUUGAUAACGAGAUCACAUCAUUGGGAGAAUGAUGUGAUGGACAAGACCCAAUCCUAAACAUAGCACAAGAUCGUAUAGUUCGUUUGCUAGAGUUUUCCAAUGUCAAAGUAUCUUUUCCUUAGACCAUGAGAUCGUGUAACUCCCGGAUACCGUAGGAGUGCUUUGGGUAUGCCAAACGUCACAACGUAACUGGGUGACUAUAAAGGUAGACUACGUGUAUCUCCGAAAGUGUCUGUUGGGUGACAUGGAUCAAGACUGGGAUUUGUCACUCCGUAUGAUGGAGAGGUAUCACUGGGCCCACUCGGUAAUGCAUCAUCAUAAUGAGCUUAGAGUGACCAAGUGUCUGGUCACGGGAUCAUGCAUUACGGUACGAGUAAAGUGACUUGCCGGUAACGAGAUUGAACGAGGUAUUGGGAUACCGACGAUCGAAUCUCGGGCAAGUAAUAUAUCGAUAGACAAAGGGAAUAGCGUACGGGAUUGAUUAAAUCCUCGACAUCGUGGUUCAUCCGAUGAGAUCAUCGUGGAGCAUGUGGGAGCCAACAUGGGUAUCCAGAUCCCGCUGUUGGUUAUUGACCGGAGAGUCGUCUCGGUCAUGUCUGCUUGUCUCCCGAACCCGUAGGGUCUACACACUUAAGGUUCGGUGACGCUAGGGUUAUGAAGAUAUGUAUAUGCAGAAACCCGAAUGUUGUUCGGAGUCCCGGAUGAGAUCCCGGACGUCACGAGGAGUUUCGGAAUGGUCCGGAGGUAAAGAAUUAUAUAUAGGAAGUGCUAUUUCGGGCAUCGGGACAAGUUUCGGGGUUAUCGGUAUUGUACCGGGACCACCGGAAGGGUCCCGGGGGUCCACCGGGUGGGGCCACCUGUCCCGGGGGGCCACAUGGGCUGUAGGGGGUGCGCCUUGGCCUAGAUGGGCCAAGGGCACCAUCCCCUAUAGGCCCAUGCGCCUAGGGUUUCCACCAUGGAAGAGUCCAUGUGGUGGAAGGCACCCCUAGGUGCCUUGGGGGGGGAGGGAAACCUCCCCUUGGCCGCCACCCCCCCUAGUAGAUCUCAUCUACUAGGGCCGGUGCCCCCCUGGCACCCCUAUAUAUAGUGGGGGGGAGAGGAGGGAUUUCACACCAGCCCCUGGCGCCUCCAUCUCCCCCCGUUACGUCUCUCCCUCGUAGUCUCGGCGAAGCCCUGCUGCUGUGACGCCCUGCAUCCACCACCACGCCGUCGUGCUGCUGGAUCUUCAUCAACCUCUCCCCCCCUUGCUGGAUCAAGAAGGAGGAGACGUCUCCCGUCCCGUACGUGUGUUGAACGCGGAGGUACCGUCCGUUCGGCGCUGGUCAUCGAUGAUUUGGAUCACGUCGAGUACGACUACAUCAUCACCGUUCUUUUGAAUGCUUCCGUGCGUGAUCUACAAAGGUAUGUAGAUGCAUCUAAUCACUCGUUGCUAGAUGAACUCCUAGAUGAUCUUGGUGAAACGAGUAGGAAAAUUUUUGUUUUCUGCAACGUUCCCCAACAGUGGCAUCAUGAGCUAGGUCUAUGCGUAGUUCUUCUUGCGCGAGUAGAACACAAUUUGUUGUGGGCGUAGAUUUGUCAACUUUCUUGCCGUUACUAGUCCUUUCUUGCUUCAGCGGUAUUGUGGGAUGAAGCGGCCCGGACCAACCUUACACGUACGCUUACGUGAGACCGGUUCCACCGACUAACAUGCACUAGUUGCAUAAGGUGGCUGGCGGGUGUCUGUCUCUCCUACUUUAGUUGGAGCGGAAUCGAUGAACAGGGUCCUUAUGAAGGGUAAAUAGAAGUUGACAAAUCACGUUGUGGCUUUAACGUAGGUAAGAAAACGUUCUUGCUAGAACCCUAAUUCAGCCACGUAAAAAACUUGCAACAACAAUUAGAGGACGUCUAACUUGUUUUUGCAGCAAGUGGUUUGUGAUAUGAUAUGGCCAAAGUUGUGAUGAAUGAUGAAUGAUCUAUAUGUGAUGUAUGAGAUGUUCAUGCUAUUGUAAUAGGAAUCACGACUUGCAUGUCGAUGAGUAUGACAACCGGCAGGAGCCAUAGGAGUUGUCUUUAUUCUUUUAUAUGACCUGCGUGUCAUCAAGAAACGCCUUGUAAAUUACUUUACUUUAUUGCUAAACGCGUUAGCCAUAGUAGUAGAAGUAAUAGUUGGCGAGCAACUUCAUGGAGACACGAUGAUGGAGAUCAUGAUGAUGGAGAUCAUGGUGUCAAGCCGGUGACAAGAUGAUCAUGGAGCCCCAAGAUGGAGAUCAAAGGAGCUAUGUGAUAUUGGCCAUAUCAUGUCACGUUUAUUAUUUGAUUGCAUGUGAUGUUUAUCAUGUUUUGCAUCUUGUUUACUUAGAACGACGGUAGUAAAUAAGGUGAUCCCUCAUACUAAUUUCAAGAAGUGUUCCCCCUAACUGUGCACCGUUGCGACAGUUCGCUGUUUCAAAACACCACGUGAUGAUCGGGUGUUUUAUUCAGACGUUCACAUACAACGGGUGUAAGACAGAUUUACACAUGCAAACACUUAGGUUUACUUGACGAGCCUAGCAUGUACAGACAUGGCCUCGGAACACAGAAGACCGAAAGGUCGAGCAUGAGUCGUAUAGAAGAUACGAUCAACAUGAAGAUGUUCACCGAUGUUGACUAGUCCGUCUCACGUGAUGAUCGGACACGGUCUAGUUUAACUCGGAUCAUGUAAUACUUAGAUGACUAGAGGGAUGUCUAAUCUAAGUGGGAGUUCAUUAAUAAUUUGAUUAGUUGAACUUAAUUAUCAUGAACUUAGUCUAAAUAUUUUACAAUAUGUCUUGUAGAUUAAAUGGCCAACGUAGUCCUCAACUUCAACGCGUUCCUAGAGAAAACCAAGCUGAAAGACGAUGGCAGUAACUAUACGGACUGGGUCCGGAACAUGAGGAUCAUCCUCAUAGCUGCCAAGAAAGAUUAUGUCCUACAAGCACCGCUUGGUGACGCACCCGUUCUCCCUGCAGAACAAGAUGUUAUGAACGCUUGGCAGGCACGUUCCGAUGACUACUCCCUCGUUCAGUGCGGCAUGCUUUACAGCCUAGAGCCGGGGCUCCAAAAGCGUUUUGAGAGACAUGGAGCAUAUGAGAUGUUCGAAGAGCUGAAAAUGGUUUUCCAAGCUCAUGCCCGGGUCGAGAGAUAUGAAGUCUCCGACAAAUUCCUCAGCUGUGAGAUGGAGGAAAACAGUUCUGUCAGUGAGCACAUACUCACUAUGUCUGGGUUGCAUAACCGCUUGACUCAGCUCGGAGUUAAUCUCCCGGAUGAUGCGGUCAUUGACAGAAUCCUCCAGUCGCUUCCACCAAGCUACAAGAGCUUUGUGAUGAACUUCAAUAUGCAGGGGAUGGAAAAGACCAUUCCUGAAGUAUUUGCUAUGCUGAAAUCAGCAGAGGUAGAAGUCAGGAAGGAACAUCAAGUGUUGAUGGUCAAUAAAACCACUAAGUUCAAGAAAGGCAAGGGUAAAAAGAACUUCAAGAAGGACGGCAAGGAGGUUGCCGCGCCCGGCAAGCAAGCUGCCGGGAAGAAGCCAAAGAAUGGACCCAAGCCCGAGACUGAGUGCUUUUAUUGCAAGGGAAGCGGUCACUGGAAGCGGAACUGCCCUAAGUACUUAGCGGAUAAGAAGGCCGGCAAAACAAAAGGUAUAUGUGAUAUACAUGUAAUUGAUGUGUACCUUACUAGUGCCCGUAGUAGCUCCUGGGUAUUUGAUACCGGUGCAGUUGCUCACAUUUGUAACUCAAAGCAGGGGCUGCGGAAUAAGCGGAAACUGGCAAAGGACGAGGUGACGAUGCGCGUCGGGAAUGGUUCCAAGGUCAAUGUGAUCGCCGUCGGCACGCUACCUCUGCAUCUCCCUUCGGGAUUAGUUUUAAACCUUAAUAAUUGUUAUUUAGUGCCAGCUUUGAGCAUGAACAUUGUAUCGGGAUCUCGUUUAAUUCGAGAUGGCUACUCUUUUAAAUCUGAGAAUAAUGGUUGUUCCAUGAGAGAUAUGUUUUAUGGUCAUGCUCCUAUGGUGAAUGGUUUGUUCUUUAUGAAUCUCGAAUGUGAUGCUACACAUGUUCAUAAUGUGAGUACCAAAAGAAGUAAGGUUGAUAAUGAUAGUCCCACAUACCUGUGGCACUGCCGCCUUGGUCACAUAGGUGUCAAACGCAUGAAGAAGCUCCAUGCCGAUGGACUUUUAGAGUCUCUUGAUUAUGAAUCAUUUGACACGUGCGAACCAUGCCUUAUGGGUAAAAUGACCAAGACUCCGUUCUCAGGAACAAUGGAGCGAGCAACCGACUUAUUGGAAAUCAUACAUACUGAUGUGUGCGGUCCGAUGAGUGUUGAGGCUCGCGGUGGCUAUCGUUAUGUUCUCACCCUCACUGAUGAUUUAAGUAGGUAUGGGUAUAUCUACUUAAUGAAACACAAGUCUGAAACCUUUGAAAAGUUCAAGGAAUUUCAGAGUGAGGUUGAAAAUCAACGUGACAGGAAAAUCAAGUUUCUACGAUCAGAUCGUGGAGGAGAAUACUUGAGUCACGAGUUUGGGGCACACUUAAGAAAAUGUGGAAUAGUUUCACAACUCACGCCGCCUGGAACACCUCAGCGUAAUGGUGUGUCCGAACGUCGUAAUCGCACUCUAUUAGAUAUGGUGCGAUCUAUGAUGUCUCUUACCGAUUUACCGCUAUCCUUUUGGGGCUAUGAUUUAGAGACUGCCGCAUUCACUUUAAAUAGGGCACCGUCGAAAUCCGUUGAGACGACACCGUAUGAAUUGUGGUUUGGGAAGAAACCUAAGCUGUCGUUUCUAAAAGUUUGGGGAUGCGAUGCUUAUGUCAAGAAACUUCAACCUGAAAAGCUCGAACCCAAGUCGGAAAAAUGCGUCUUCAUAGGAUACCCAAAAGAAACUAUUGGGUACACCUUCUACCUCAGAUCCGAAGGCAAGAUCUUUGUUGCCAAGAAUGGGUCCUUUCUGGAGAAAGAGUUUCUCUCGAAAGAAGUAAGUGGGAGGAAAGUAGAGCUUGAUGAAGUAUUACCUCUUGAACCGGUAAAUGGCACAACUCAAGAAAAUGUUCCUGAGGUGCCUGCACCGACUAGAGAGGAAGUUAAUGACAAUGAUCAAGAUACUUCUGAUCAAGCCCCUACUGAAAUUUGAAGGUCCACAAGGACACGUUCCGCACCAGAGUGGUACGGCAACCCUGUCUUGGAAAUCAUGCUGUUAGACAACGGUGAACCUUCGAACUAUGAAGAAGCGAUGGCGGGCCCGGAUUCCGACAAAUGGCUAGAAGCCAUGAAAUCCGAGAUAGGAUCCAUGUAUGAAAACGAAGUAUGGACUUUGACUGACUUGCCCAUUGAGCGGCGAGCCAUAGAAAAUAAAUGGAUCUUUAAGAAGAAGACAGACGCGGAUGGUAAUGUGACCAUCUAUAAAGCUCGGCUUGUCGCUAAGGGUUAUCGACAAGUUCAAGGGGUUGACUACGAUGAGACUUUCUCACCGGUAGCGAAGCUGAAGUCCGUCCGAAUCAUGUUAGCAAUUGCCGCAUUCUAUGAUUACGAAAUAUGGCAAAUGGACGUCAAAACGGCAUUCCUUAAUGGUUUCCUUAAGGAAGAAUUGUAUAUGAUACAGCCGGAAGGUUUUGUCGAUCCUAAGAAUGCUGACAAAGUGUGCAAGCUCCAACGCUCGAUUUAUGGGCUGGUGCAAGCAUCUCGGAGUUGGAACAUUCGCUUUGAUGAGAUGAUCAAAGCGUUUGGGUUUACACAAACUUAUGGAGAAGCCUGCGUUUACAAGAAAGUGAGUGGGAGCUCUGUAGCAUUUCUCAUAUUAUAUGUAGAUGACAUACUUUUGAUGGGAAAUGAUAUAGAACUCUUGGACAACAUCAAGGCCAACUUGAAUAAAAGUUUUUCAAUGAAGGACCUUGGAGAAGCUGCUUAAAUAUUAGGCAUCAAAAUCUAUAGAGAUAGAUCGAGACGCCUCAUAGGUCUUUCACAAAGCACAUACCUUGAUAAAAUAUUGAACAAGUUCAAUAUGGAUCAAUCCAAGAAGGGGUUCUUGCCUGUGUUACAAGGUAUGAAAUUGAGCUCAGCUCAAUGUCCGACCACGGCAGAAGAUAUAGAAGAGAUGAGCGUCAUCCCCUAUGCCUCAGCCAUAGGUUCUAUUAUGUAUGCCAUGCUGUGUACUAGACCUGAUGUUAACCUUGCCGUCAGUUUGGUAGGAAGGUACCAAAGUAAUCCCGGCAAGGAACAUUGGACAGCGGUCAAGAAUAUCCUGAAGUACCUGAAAAGGACUAAGGAAAUGUUUCUUGUUUAUGGAGGUGACGAAGAGCUCGUCGUAAAGGGUUACGUCGACGCUAGCUUCGACACAGAUCUGGAUGACUCUAAGUCACAAACCGGAUAUGUGUAUAUUUUGAAUGGUGGGGCAGUAAGCUGGUGCAGUUGCAAGCAAAGCGUCGUGGCGGGAUCUACAUGUGAAGCGGAGUACAUGGCAGCCUCGGAGGCAGCACAUGAAGCAAUAUGGGUGAAGGAGUUCAUCACCGACCUAGGAGUCAUACCCAAUGCGUCGGGGCCGAUCAAGCUCUUCUGUGACAACACUGGAGCUAUUGCACUUGCCAAGGAGCCCAGGUUUCACAAGAAGACAAGGCACAUCAAGCGUCGCUUCAACUCCAUUCGUGAAAAUGUUCAAGAUGGAGACAUAGAGAUUUGUAAAGUACAUACGGACCUGAAUAUAGCAGAUCCGUUGACUAAACCUCUCCCUAGAGCAAAACAUGAUCAACACCAGAAUUCCAUGGGUGUUCGAUUCAUCACAAUGUAACUAGAUUAUUGACUCUAGUGCAAGUGGGAGACUGUUGGAAAUAUGCCCUAGAGGCAAUAAUAAAAGCAUUAUUAUUAUAUUUCCUCGUUCAUGAUAAUUGUCUUUAUUCAUGCUAUAAUUGUGUUAUCCGGAAAUCGUAAUACAUGUGUGAAUAACAGACACCAACAUGUCCCUAGUGAGCCUCUAGUUGACUAGCUCGUUGAUCAACAGAUAGUCAUGGUUUCCUGACUAUGGACACUGGAUGUCAUUGAUAACGAGAUCACAUCAUUGGGAGAAUGAUGUGAUGGACAAGACCCAAUCCUAAACAUAGCACAAGAUCGUAUAGUUCGUUUGCUAGAGUUUUCCAAUGUCAAGUAUCUUUUCCUUAGACCAUGAGAUCGUGUAACUCCCGGAUACCGUAGGAGUGCUUUGGGUAUGCCAAACGUCACAACGUAACCGGGUGACUAUAAAGGUAGACUACGGGUAUCUCCGAAAGUGUCUGUUGGGUGACAUGGAUCAAGACUGGGAUUUGUCACUCCGUAUGACGGAGAGGUAUCACUGGGCCCACUCGGUAAUGCAUCAUCAUAAUGAGCUCAGAGUGACCAAGUGUCUGGUCACGGGAUCAUGCAUUGCGGUACGAGUAAAGUGACUUGCCGGUAACGAGAUUGAACGAGGUAUUGGGAUACCGACGAUCGAAUCUCGGGCAAGUAACAUAUCGAUAGACAAAGGGAAUAGCGUACGAGAUUGAUUAAAUCCUCGACAUCGUGGUUCAUCCGAUGAGAUCAUCGUGGAGCAUGUGGGAGCCAACAUGGGUAUCCAGAUCCCGCUGUUGGUUAUUGACCGGAGAGUCGUCUCGGUCAUGUCUGCUUGUCUCCCGAACCCGUAGGGUCUACACACUUAAGGUUCGGUGACGCUAGGGUUAUGAAGAUAUGUAUAUGCAGAAACCCGAAUGUUGUUCGGAGUCCCGGAUGAGAUCCUGGACGUCACGAGGAGUUCCGGAAUGGUCCGGAGGUAAAGAAUUAUAUAUAGGAAGUGCUAUUUCGGGCAUCGGGACAAGUUUCGGGGUUAUCGGUAUUGUACCGGGACCACCGGAAGGGUCCCGGGGGUCCACCGGGUGGGGCCACCUGUCCCGGGGGGGCACAUGGGCUGUAGGGGGUGCGCCUUGGCCUAGAUGGGCCAAGGGCACCAGCCCCUAUAGGCCCAUGCGCCUAGGGUUUCCACCAUGGAAGAGUCCAUGUGGUGGAAGGCACCCCUAGGUGCCUUGGGGGGGAGGGAAACCUCCCCUUGGCCGCCGCCCCCCCUAGUAGAUCUCAUCUACUAGGGCCGGCGCCCCCCCUGGCACCCCUAUAUAUAGUGGGGGGAGAGGAGGGAUUUCACACCAGCCCCUGGCGCCUCCAUCUCCCCCCGUUACGUCUCUCCCUCGUAGUCUCGGCGAAGCCCUGCUGCUGUGACGCCCUGCAUCCACCACCACGCCAUCGUGCUGCUGGAUCUUCAUCAACCUCUCCCCCCCUUGCUGGAUCAAGAAGGAGGAGACGUCUCCCGUCCCGUACGUGUGUUGAACGCGGAGGUGCCGUCCGUUCGGCGCUGGUCAUCGGUGAUUUGGAUCACGUCGAGUACGACUACAUCAUCACCGUUCUUUUGAACGCUUCCGUGCGCGAUCUACAAAGGUAUGUAGAUGCAUCUAAUCACUCGUUGCUAGAUGAACUCCUAGAUGAUCUUGGUGAAAUGAGUAGGAAAUUUUUUGUUUUCUGCAACGUUCCCCAACAGUUCAUUAAGGACUUCUUAAAAAUUUCUCGGCCUCUGACUAAUUUAUUGCAAAAAGAUAUACCAUUUGUCUUUGAUGAUGAUUGUGUAGAAGCAUUUGAAAUACUUAAGAAAGCAUUAGUCUCUACACCUGUUGUUCAGCUACCUGAAUGGAAUUUACCCUUCGAAAUUAUGUGUGAUGCUAGUGAUUAUGCUGUAGGUGUUGUUCUAGGUCAAAGAGUUGAUAAGAAAUUAAAUGUUAUUCAUUAUGCUAGUAAAACUCUAGACAAUGCUCAAAGAAAUUAUGCUACUACUGAAAAGAGCUUUUAGCAGUUGUAUUUGCUUGUGAUAAGUUCAGAUCUUAUAUUGUUGAUUCUAAAGUAACUAUUCACACUGAUCAUGCUGCUAUUAAAUAUCUUAUGGAAAAGAAAGAUGCUAAACGUAGACUUAUUAGAUGGGUUCUCUUGCUACAAGAAUUUGAUUUGAAUAUUGUUGAUAGAAAGGGAGCUGAGAACCCCGUUGCAGACAACUUGUUUAGGUUAGAGAAUGUUCUUGAUGACCCACUACCUAUUAAUGAUGACUUUCCUGAUGAACAAUUAAAUGUUAUAAGUACUUCUCGCAGUACUCCAUGGUAUGCUGAUUAUGCUAAUUAUAUUGUUGCUAAGUUUAUACCACCUAGCUUCACAUACCAGCAAAAAAAAGUUUUUCUAUGAUUUAAGUCACUACUUUUGGGAUGACCCACAUCUUUAUAAAGGAGUAGAUGGUGUUAUUAGACGUUGUGUACCUGAGCAUGAACAGGAACAUAUCCUACGCAAGUGUCAUUCCGAGACUUAUGGAGGACACCACGCUGGAGAUAGAACUGCACAUAAGGUAUUGCAAUCUGGUUUUUAUUGGCCUACUCUCUUCAAGGAUGCCCGUAAGUUUGUCUUGUCUUGUGAUGAAUGUCAAAGAAUUGGUAAUAUUAGUAGACGUCAAGAAAUGCCUAUGAAUUAUUCACUUGUUAUUGAACCGUUUGAUGUUUGGGGCUUUGAUUAUAUGGGACCUUUUCCUGCCUCUAAUGGAUACACACAUAUUCUAGUUGCUGUUGAUUACGUUACUAAGUGGGUAGAAGCUAUUCCAACUAGUAGUGCUGAUCAUAACACCUCUAUUAAAAUGCUUAAGGAAGUUAUUUUUCCGAGGUUUGGAGUCCCUAGAUAUUUAAUGACUGAUGGUGGUUCACACUUUAUUCAUGGUGCUUUCCGUAAAAUGCUUGCUAAAUAUGAUGUUAAUCAUAGAAUUGCAUCUCCUUAUCACCCACAAUCUAGUGGUCAAGUAGAGUUGAGCAAUAGAGAGCUCAAAUUAAUUUUGCAAAAGACUGUUAAUAGGUCUAGAAAGAAUUGGUCUAAGAAACUUGAUGAUGCAUUAUGGGCUUAUAGAACCGCAUAUAAAAAUCCUAUGGGUAUGUCUCCGUAUAAAUGGUUUAUGGAAAAGCAUGUCACUUACCUCUCGAACUAGAACAUAAGGCAUAUUGGGCUAUUAAAGAGCUCAAUUAUGAUUUUAAACUUGCCGGUGAGAAGAGGUUAUUUGAUAUUAGCUCACUUGAUGAAUGGAGAACCCAAGCUUAUGAAAAUGCCUAGUUGUUUAAAGAAAAAGUUAAAAGAUGGCAUGACAAAAGGAUAUAAAAGCGUGAGUUUAAUGUAGGUGAUUAUGUAUUGCUAUACAACUCUCAUUUAAGAUUUUUUGCAGGAAAACUUCUCUCUAAAUGGGAAGGCCCGUACGUUAUCGAAGAAGUCUACCGUUCUGGUGCCAUAAAAAUCAACAACUUCGAGGGCACAAAUCCGAAGGUGGUAAACGGUCAAAGAAUCAAACAUUAUAUCUCAGGUAAUCCCAUAAAUAUUGAAACCAAUAUUAUUGAAACCGUAACCCCGGAGGAAUACAUAAGGGACACUUUCCGGAGCGUUUCAGACUUCGAAAAGGAAUAGGUAUGUGGUACGGUAAGUAAACCGACUCCAAAACAAUUUUUAAGGCAAUAUUUCUCCGCUUUGGAAUAUUUAGAAAAAUAGAAAAAUAAGUAGCAGUCCGGAAAGGACACGAGGGCCCCACGAGGGUGGUGGGCGCGCCCCCUACCUCGUGAGCACCUCGUGUGCCUUCCGGACUCCGUUUUCUUGCACGUUACGUUUUUGGUCGGUAAAAAUUCAUUAUAUAUUCUCCCGAAGGUUUUGACUCCCGUAUCAUGCAAAUUUCCUUUGUUUUUUGUUUUCGAGCUGUUGUUGUUGCAGAUUAGAGCAAGAUGUCUUCUCAAGAGUCAAUCGGGGAGAGCCGGGUAUCUAAUCCGGCACCGGAACGAAGGGCAAACAACGACGCUAACCACUUUGGGCCAGCAACGGAGGAAGAGAUGGAGGCUGACUUGAUGAGAGUAGAUGCCAUGGAGGAUCAAGAAGUCACCUCUCGCCUCCGAGCUGGGUUCAUGAUGGGGGAACCACAGAGCUCAGCUAUUCCAAACUCGGUUAUCCCUUCUAAUGUUAGAUUUCUUUCUUAUGAAAAUAUGAAGAGGAGUGUCACUUGUUCUCCCGCAACUAUGCAACACCCUUGGGUGCAAGGAGCUUUAGCUGUCACAGGAAAGCUUUGUAAGGAAAUAAUGGACCUCAAACAGCAAGUCAAUAAGCUCAAGGAGGAGAACCGCAUCCUGAGGGGAAUAAUCGCCAAGAAUAUUACACCAACAACAAAGAAGGAGAUAUAAUCACAUGGGUAUGGGCACUCCCCUUGGCAACUGCCAAGCUUGGGGGAGGUGCCCCGAUAUCGUAUCACCAUCACAACUCCUAUCUUUACCGUUUUUCUUAGUUCGAUCUUAUUAGUAGUAUCUUGAUCUAGUAUAAUAAAGUUUAUGGCAUGACCUAGUUUUGAGUUUUGCUUUAUGAUCUCUCUAUGUAAUCGAGUCCGUGAGCUAUAUAUAAUAAAGAUUAGUGUUGAGUCAAGGGCUUAAUUAUUUUGCCAUGAUCUUGGGUGAAUAAAAGAAAAGAGAAAAAGAAUAAAAAGAAACAAAGAGUUCAUAUUGAUCUUAUUGAGAGUAAUGACUUCACAUAUAAAGAGUAUGAUGAUUAAAAGUUGUUGGGAGUUGGCAGACAUAGCUUUGGUCAUUGUUGCAAUUAAUAGGAAGUAAUAAGGAAAGAGAGGUUUUUCACAUAUAGAUAUAUUAUCAUUGACAUCUUUUAUGAUUGGGAGCACUCAUUAAAAUAUGGCAUGCUAAAGAGUUGACGUUGGACAAGGAAGACAACGUAAUGAGUUAUGUCUUUCUUAUAUCUGAGAUAAAGUAUGUUGUCAUGGAUCCUCUAACUUGUUGAGCUUGCCUUUCCCCCUCAUGCUAGCCAAAUUCCCAGCACCAAGUAGAAAUACUACUUGUGCUUCUAAAUCCCUAAACUAGUUUUGCCAUGAGAGUCCACCAUAUCUACCUAUGGAUUGAGUAAGAUCCUUCAAGUAAGUUGUCAUCGGUGCAAAGCAAUAAAAAUUGCUCUAAAUAUGUAUGAUUGAUUGGUGUGGGAGAAAUAAGCUUUAUACGAUCUUGUGAUGUGGAAGUAAUAAAAGUGACGGACUGCAUAAUAAAGGUUCAUAUCACAAGGGGCAAUAUAAAGUGACGUUCUUUCGCAUUGAGAUUUUAUGCAUCCAACCAUAAAAGCGCAUGGCAACCUCUGCUUCCCUCUGUGAAGGGCCUAUCCUUUAUUAUUAUCUUCUACCUUAUGCAAGAGUCACGGUGAUCUUCACCUUUCCUUUUUCAUUUUAUCCUUUGGCAAGCUCAGCAUGUUGGAAAUAACAUGAUAUAUAUAUAUCUAAUUGGAUGUAGGGGAGCAUGAACCAUUAUUGUUGACAUUACCCUUGAGGUAAAAGGUUGUGGGGCAAAACUAUAAGCCCCUAUCUUUCUCUGUGUCCGAUUAAAACUUCAUAACCACAAGUAUUGCGUGAGUGUUAGCAAUUAUAAAGGACUAAAUGAUAGUUGAGUAUGUGGACUUGCUUUUUAGCUCUGACAUAGACUCUUUCCGAUGUUAUGAUAAAUUGCAAUUGCUUCAAUGACUGAGAUUAUAGUUUGUCGGAGCCCAAUAAGGUUUAUGAUUUAUACUUUUGCAUUGUGAAUAGAUCAUCACUUGAACAUAUAAGUAAUCAUAUGACAAAAUCUAUAUAUGUUGCUGUUAUGAGAAUAAUCAUGAUGCCUUCAUGUCCGUAUUUUAUUUUUAUCGACGCCUCUACCUCUAAACAUGAGGACAUAUUUAUUGUUAUCGACUUUUCGCUUGAGGACAAGCGAGGUCUAAGCUUGGGGGAGUUGAUACGUCCAUUUUGCAUCAUGCUUUUAUAUCGAUAUUUAUUACAUUAUGGACUGUUAUUUCACUUUAUGUCACAAUACUUAUGGCUAUUCUCUCUUAUUUUACAAGGUUUACAUAAGGAGGGAGAAUGCCGGCAGCUGGAAUUCUGGGCUGGAAAAGGAGCAAAUAUUAGAGACCUAUUCUGCGCAACUCCAAAAGUCCUGAAACUCCAUGGAACAUCCUAAAAUAAAUAAAGAAAAAUCCCUGUCAAAGAUGAAGGCCAGGGGGCCCACACCCUUCUCACGAGGGUGGGGGGUGCGCCCCCCCUAGGGCGCCCCCCUACCUUGUGGCCCCCCUGGUGGCUCUCCGCGUCCAUCUUCUCCUAUAUGAGGUCUUUCGAUGAGAAAAAAAGAAGAAGGAACUUUUCGGGACGAGACUCCGCCGCCACGAGGCGGAACCUUGGCGGAUCCAAUCUAGAGCUCUGGCAGAGUUGUUCUGCCGGGGAUACUUCCCUCCGGGAGGGGGAAAUCAUCAGCAUCGUCAUCACCAACGCUCCUCUCAUCGGGAGAGGGCAAUCUCCAUCAACAUCUUCACCAGCACCAUCCCAUCUCCAAACCCCAGUUCAUCUCUUGUAUCCAAUUCUUGUCUCAAAGUCCGGGAUUGGUGCUAGUAGGUUGCUAGUAGUGUUGAUUACUCCUUGUAGUUGAUGCUAGUUGGUUUAACUGGUGGAAGAUCAUAUGUUCAGAUCCUAUAUGCAUAUUAUUACCCCUCUGAUUAUGAACAUGAAUAUGCUUUGUGAGUAAUUAUGUUUGUUCCCGAGGACAAGGGAGAAGUCUUGCUAUGAGUAGUCAUGUGAAUUUGGUAUUCAUUUGAUAUUUUGAUAAGAUGUAUGUUGUCUAGCCUCUAGUGGUGUUAUGUGAACGUUGACUACAUAACACUUCACCAUUAUUUGGGCCUAGAGGAAGGCAUUGGAAAGUAAUAAGUAGAUGAUGGGUUGCUAGAGUGACAGAAGCUUAAACCCUAGUUUAUGCGUUGCUUCGUAAGGGGCUGAUUUGGAUCCACAUGUUUCAUGCUAUGGUUAGGUUUACCUUAAUACUUUUGUUGUAGUUGCGGAUGAUUUGCAAUAGAGGUUAAUCAUAAGUGGGAUGCUUGUUCAAGUAAGAACAGCACCCAAGCACCGGUCCACCCACAUAUCAAAUUAUCAAAGUAUCGAACGCGAAUCAUAUGAACGUGAUGAAAACUAGCUUGACGAUAUUCCCAUGUGUCCUCGGGAGCGCUUUUCCUAUUAUAAGAGUUUGUUCCGGCUUGUCAUUUGCUACAAAAAGGAUUGGGCCACCUUGCUGCACUUUAUUUACUUUUGUUACUUGUUGCUCGAUACAAUCUAUCUUAUCACAAAACUAUCUGUUACCACUUAUUUCAGUACUUGCAGAGAAUACCUUGCUGAAAACCGCUUAUCAUUUCCUUCUGCUCCUCGUUGGGUUCGACACUCUUACUUAUCGAAAGGACUACGAUAGAUCCCCUAUACUUGUGCGUCAUCAGAAGCCACUAGGGCAACCGUAUCUCCUCACGCCCUCACACCAUGCGAGAUGUCGUGAUUCCAUUAUUGGUGCCCUUGGAGGCGGCGACCGAACCUUUACAAACAAGGUUGGGGCAAUCUCCACAACUCAAUUGGAGGCUCCCAACGACACCACGAAGCUUCACCACAAUGGACUAUGGCUCCGCGGUGACCUCAACCAUCUAGGGUGCUCAAACACCCAAGAGUAACAAGAUCCGCAAGGGAUUAGUGGGGGAAUCAAUUUUCUCUUGGUGGAAGUGUAGAUCGGGGCCUUCUCAACCACUCCCGAGCAAAUCAACAAGUUUGAUUGGCUAGGGAGUGAGAUCGGGCGAAAAUGGAGCUUAGAGAAACAAUGGAGCUUAGGGUUGGAAGAGGUAGUCAACUCGAGGAAGAAGACACACCUUUUAUAGCUUAGGACAAAGAUCCAACCGUUAUCCACCUACCAGCCCGCGACCAGCGGUACUACCGCACCAGACCAGCGGUACUACCACAGGUCCAUGCGGUACUUCCGCUUGCUGACAAGCGGUACUGCCGCAAGGCCACGCGGUACUACCGUGCAGGCCCGCGGUACUACCGCAACACCAGCAGCAGCUAGGGCAGACCUGUAGCACAAGAGCUGAGGGCGGUACUGCUGCGGGCGCGGUACUACCGCUCCCCCUUGCGGUACUACCUCAAGGCAGGAAACCCCUAGCCUGGGAAGAGCGCGGAUAAAGGUACAUCCGUGCCUACUUCCGCUGGUAAACGGGAGAAGCAAAAACCCGACACAGUACUACCGCAGAGGAGUGGUACUACCGCCUGGCAGCUGAUCCAGGCCGCGCACGGUACUACCGCGCAAGGAAUGCGGUACUAUCGCAGUGGCGCGGAUGUAAAAAAUUACAUCCGCCCCUACUACCGCGAAGGAGCGGUACUUGGCCUGGGGGCCACUGUAUUGCGGCUCCAGAGGAGCGGUACUACCGUGGGCACCAGCGGUACUACCGCGCCGAAGUGCGGUACUACCGCUCAACAAUAAGCAGUACUACCGCAAGCCCAGCAACAACAGUCAGGAUAGGGGAAAAGAGGAUCAACGGAGGAUGCUCCAAAGUGCAGGGGAAAGGAGGGGACAAGGAAGAAAAUGUGUAUGUGAUGAUUCCACCCAAACCUUUCCGACGCGGACCCCCUCUUAAUAGUACGGCUUUCCUACGACUCAAAUCCACCAAAAAGAAACGUAGAAAAGACGCCGUCUUCAACAGUCUUCGAGGGGCACCAAACCGUUUUGUGCCUAGCGAUGAAACGUCUGGGAUACUCAAGGCACACGAUUAGUCCGCAAACGCAUUGUCAUCAAUCACCAAAACACCUUAGGGAUAAAUAUGCCCUUAUAGAGCUGCUGCCGUAUUUCAGUCCAUCCAGAGGGCUGCGACAAGGCUGCCCAGUUUCUCCAUAUCUCUUCCUAAUAUGUGCCCAAGGACUUACCUCAAUGCUCAAUAAUUUUGGUGGUGCGCGUAUUGAUCGGGGGAUUCGUGUGAGUUUUCAAGCACCAUGGGUUAGUCAUCUCUUAUUUGCUGACGACAGUCUCAUUUUCCUCAAAGCUAACACCCAAAGUGUAGAAUGGCUCAAUGAGAUACUUCAUAUAUAUGCUACUUGUUCGGGUCAAACAGUGAACCGUGACAAGAGAUCCAUCUUCUUAAGUGGCAAUGCAGAGCAGCCCCUUAGAGAGAAUCUCAGACAAUCUCUCGGUAUUUCAGUUGAGGCGUUCUCUGAAUGCUACUUGGGACUGCCCACGGCUAUUGGACGAAUCACAAGCGGUACAUUCAGUCAUAUGAGUGAAUGUAUACGCAAUAAGAUUUGUGGUUGGUCAAAACGAAACCUUGCUUGUGCAGGUAGGGAGGUUCUUCUAAAAUCUAUUGCUCAGACAAUCCCAACCUAUAGUAUGAGUUGUUUUCAGCUGACAAAGAAAGCAUGCAAGACUACCACCUCGCCAAUGACAAAGUACUGGUGGGGAAGCUCUUUGGACAAGAGAUCCCUACAGUGGCUAGCAUGGGAUAAAUUGAUACAACCAAAAAUCAAGGGUGGUUUGGGUUUUCGAGAUCCUCAAGUUUUCAAUCUUGCAAUGCUUGGCAAGCAAGGCUGGGCGACUCCUGACGAGCCCAGAUUCACUAUGUGCAAGGGUGUUGAAAGGUAAAUAUUUCCCUCACACAAGCUUUCUCCAAGCCUCGAUCCCUAAGGCUGGCCACAGUGGGAGUAACAUCACUAGUAACAUCACACUUUUCAAGAUAAUUUUGCUUAUGUGACACAUGUUUAAUGAUGAGAGAGGUGAUGGUGGUAACUUAGUUAGUUACUGUAACAUCACACAUACCAAGACAAUAUGAGUCUAUAGGCUAAUAAAUGAACCAUAACAUGACAACACACAUAUGUUAUUACCCAAUGUGGAGGUAGUAACAUAGCCUAGUAAAAUGUGAUGUUACUAGUCUAAGUUACUCCCCAUUGUGACUAGUCUAAGACUGCUUCUUCGACCUGGAGAGCGAUCAUUGCGGGAAGAAAAGCUUUGGAGGCUGGGCUGAUCCAUCGGGUAGGUGAUGGCUCCUCUAUUUCUAUCUGGAACGACCCUUGGAUCCCCAAUACUGUCACUAUGAAACGAGUCGACCGACUAGGGGUUGCCCCUCUCGCAUACGUAUCGGGGUUGAUUGAUGAUUAUACUGGAAACUGGAAUGUUGAUCUUGUCCGCCAAAACUUUCUCCAUCCGGAUGCUGAGGCAAUUCUGAAUAUACCUUUGAAUAGACCAGGAAGGUAAGACACUUUGGCGUGGGCACUGGAGAAGUCAGGCAACUACACUGUAAAAUCAGCGUAUCGCUCUCUAAUGACUCGCAACGAGCUUAGCUCUCUAGAGGAAGGGACGACUACAGAUACUUCAUGAUCUAACAAACAGUUGUGGUCAGCACUUUGGACAAUACAUGUGAUGCCGAAAGUUAGGGUUUUCUGGUGGAGAGUUCUCUGCGGUAUCUUGCCAGACUCCUUGACCCUGAAGCAUCGACAUAUCAAACCACUUGGACGCUGUGACAUUUGUCAGGCAAUGGACGAAGACUUAAUGCAUGCGUUGAUUUCAUGCUCGCAUGCAAAGCAGUUCUGGAUGGCGGCUAAGGAUCGUUUCGACCUUCAACUACCGAGGCUGCAUCCAUUAACGCCUUGAGCUUUUGCCAAUAUGUGUCCUUAGAGUUUUGAAGGGGCUCCACAUCUCAUUCUGUGCGUUCGGUUUAUUCGGUUUACGUGGUUUGGUUUAUACGGUUUUGGUUUGUACGGUAUUAAUACUUUGGUAAAUAUGGUAUGAAUUAAAAUGCGGUUCGGUUUUGGUAUAUACCAAAUUAUUUCGGUCUGAUUUCGGUAUGUACCAUAAUAAUCAAAGUUGACACGAAUUUAAAAAUGACGUGAUAAUAAUUUACAAAUUUAUGACUCAAAACACAUACUAUUUUACACAAAUAGUUUAUAACUAUAUAUGCAUGAAUGGAUCCAUCCCUUGACUGUUAUGGACGUGCUUAGCAUUUUUUAAAGAGAAAAAUGACUAUGUUAUGAGAAAAAUGUACGUGCUUGGUAGUGAAUUUGACUCAUGUACAAGAAAAAUUAUAAUUUGUAUGGCCGUUCGCCUCAAGAAAUAUAAAUUUACUUUUUACUUCGGUUUAUUUGAUUAACCGUUCGCUUUUUCAGUAUAUAUCAUAAAAACCAAAAUUCAAAAUGGUAUGAAAAGUUCAUACCAUACCAAAACAAGAAACAAUAAAACCCGUAAAAAUUGGUUUGGUUCGGUUUAUUUUCGGUAUGGUUUUUCGGUUCGAUUUCAAAAUGCACAGAGUGACCUAGCGGACACAAUUAUAUUUUUGCUCUUUCCCAGCGAUGCUACUGCGUGCUCCUUGCUCAACUGGUUUUGUUUUCUCUUCCGUUUUGAGAGAAAAAGCGACCGAUUCGACCGGUUUUGUUCGGUUCAUUUGCAUAACAGUUUGAUUAGCUUAUAAAACCGUGGAGGCCUUCUGUUCCGGUCUUUCUCGGUCCGACCUGUGUUUCGGUCUUUUCUGAUCCGACCCGCGGUCCGGUCAGUUUUUUUAAACCAUGAGUAAAAGUACUAUAUUGAGAAGCCAUGUUUCAUGGUGAAUUUGAGUUAGGCUUUAGGGUAUCUCCAAAUCGAACCCUUGAAUCGUCGGCAAGCGUCCACAUCGAGCUGUCUAGAUACAUUUUGUCAUCCAACGCUGCCCCGUAUCUGUCCACGGACCGGUCCGGAUGUUCAAAAUUCCUCAAACUAGAAGCAAACAAAAGAGGCUUUUGCGGAAGUCUGGACAUUCAUCUGACCAAUCAAAGGGUUAGCUUGGCGUUUGGCGGAAAGUUGCUACCGGCUGCGAGCAUGUUUGACGGAAGCCACUAAUCAUACUGUGAUUAGCACUAACUUUGGCGGAAGGUUGCUACCGGCAGCGAGCAUGUUUGGCGGAAGCCACGAAUCACAUGGUGUUAGCACUAAUUUUGGCGGAAGGUUGCUAAACUAUUUUAUUUUUCGUAAGUUAAGUUAACAGAAACGGAUAUUUGAGGUAUAGGUUGGAUGGCCGGCUUUCGUAUCCAUGUGCGGACACUAGCCCAGACCGGUCCACGAAUAAAUACAUGUCCAUUUUAUGGAUUCGCGUUCGAACGCCGUUCGAGCUAUAUAUUUUAGCACGGUAGAAAUAGUGAAUUCCAUCUUUUACCCUUUGGUUUCAUGUUUGUGAUAAAGUAACCCAUUUUAGCAAAAAAAUCCACAUUUUUUUACCUAAUUUAAGCAAACUUGUGGCACAAUUUACCCCAUUCAUUUUCCCCGUUUCACAUUGCCACGUAGUAUGCGGUUAGGCCUCCCUCCCCCUUUUUUUUCCUGAUUUGCUCUUGCCAUCCCGUUCUCUUCCUUCACGGCGGUGCCGGCGCCAUCGGCUUAUACAACUAGGUCAUCCUUUUCCACCAUGGCCCGUUGCUCCAUCGACAACCUCUCGCUAGUCCGGUUCGAGCCGUUUCGCGCGGACCUCUAACAUUGAUGGUUCAACCCAUAGUUUAAAAAUCCGGAUCGGUGGUCGAACCGGUGACGCCGCUGGUUCAGAUUUUUUUCCAGUCGGACCGCCGAUUCACCGGUUCAUUUACUGGUUUUUAAGCCAUAAAUUAUGUAAAAAAGUCAAAUACAUUAAAUUUCCAUUAUUUGAUAGCUAUAAGUUGGAUGGCCGGGUUGGUACUGGGCCACAUUGGUGAGCUUCCUUGCGAUCGAGGAUUGAAGCCCCGUGGACACAAUUAUUUCUUCUCUCUUAUCAGUGAUGCUAUUGUGUGCUUCCUGCUUAACAGGGUUUGUUUUUUCUUCCGGUUUGAGUAAAAAAUGGCCGGUUCGACCUGUUUUGUUUUUUCAUAUGCAAAACAGUCUGAUUAGUUUAUAAAACCGCUGAUGCUUUGGGUUCCGGUCUUUUUCGGUCCGACCGGUGGUCCAGUUUGGUUUUUUAAACUAUGGUUCAACCUCGCGUGGUGAAGGCGGUGAAGAAGAAUUUUGCACAAAGAAAUUCCUAAGCACUUCGCUGAAAAGUGCACAAUUUUGCAAGAGCAAAAUUGGAGAAUUCCAGCAUUUUCACACCGCAAUGCGAAAGAAAAAUAGGAAGACCCUUUUGGACUAUAAAAUAGGAAGACUUCAAAGUCUUCAACCAACUUGAAAUUUGAUUAUUUUAAGAGAAAAAAAAGUUUCCUGUUUUCACACUGGAACGCGAAAGAAAAUUUGUUUGGACUAAAAUAGGAAAGACUUUCAAGUCUUCAACCAACCUGAAAUUUAGAAUGGAUUUUUUUAAAGGAAAAAAAAUAGUUCCCUGUUUUUCUCGUGUGUGAACGAAAAAAAAAAAGUUCCCAACCACCCAUACGUACUCUACACAGAAAAAAAAUCUCUCACGUGUCCUGGCCUUAUCGGGUCCACCCCAGGCCCGCCAAGCCACCGCGCCGCAGCACGACUCCUCCCCCUCCCCUCCCUCCCCAUCCCCUCGGGCUGAACGCCUCUCGCCGCCGGCGAUCGGAGCAGCGCCAGCGCCCCCUUCCGGCGCCGGCAAGGGCCUUCUGCGGACAUGGGGACGCGCCACCUCAUCACCGGCCAGAACAACUGCGCCCCGGACGGGGCAUCCUCCUCCAACCCAUUCGGCGCCCUCGCCAACACCCUCCUCGGCCAGUCCAGCAAAGCGGAGGUAAACCCUAAGUCCGUCGCCCCGUCUGUCAAGACUCUCGAGCUUAAGGGCUCGCCAUCUGCAUCUGCGGUGGCCUGGAUCAAUCGGCGCCCUCUAGGUUUUUUGUGCUCAUAUGCUACUUCUGUUGCGCGAAGCUAGUGCUGCAUCCCGUGCGGUCUUGAUGCGCUGAAGAAUAUAUUGUUGAUUCGUGGGUUGUGCUGUCCCAUGUCUCUGAUUGUUUGAUGUAUUGGUUUAGUCUGUGACUAGACGGGCCAGAGCUAUUACUGGUUCAAGGUUCCGUAUCUGUUCCCUUUUACCUUACUCUGGAACCAUGCUCUAAAGUGCUGGGCGAGAUACUUGAGUCAGUGCUUUAUAAAUUGUAAGCUACCAAGUUCGCUAUAUUAUCGGCAGGCUUCUCUAUUUAUAUGCUGUUAUCUUGCUAAAAAAAGAGUAAAGGGUUAAAAGAGCUUAUCGUGCUAGGAUUCUAACCUUUAGCACACUCAUUUCACCAAAUUAAGUUCAAUUACUCUGUUAAUUAACUUAUCUGAGAAUCUCUGAUUGGCCUUAUUCUGAACAUAUCAGUCAUGAGGUAUAUGUGAAGACAUAUUUUUUUUUGUCUCCUACCAGUUUCCAUGUUCCUUUAUAAGGAUUUGUGUGGACUAAAUUGGAAAUAUGGGAUGCUUAACAUCGAAAUGCAUUGAAAAAUUGUAGCUGAAGUCCAAGAAAAUAUUGGCUAUAACAUUUUCUUUUGUGCAGUCACUAAAGGGACUUCCUGGAGCCUCAGUUAAUGUUCCAACUACGUCUGAUUAUAGCACAGCUCCACUGUCUACUGUCCCUGGCUCUGAGAAUGAGUUCAAGCAAGAUCAACGACCAUUUGCACGGGUAAUGGUGAUUCUCCAAAACUGUCUUUCUGUGUCCCGUUUGGCCACUCCUAACUGUUGUUGAACACUUGCAGGGUGCCGACUUCAUGCGUGGGGGUCCUGCUAAUGAUUGGGUUGAAUCUUUUCGCCCUCCGGGGCAUUCUACAUUUGGAGGGCCAGAAACAAACUUUGCAGAGUUUGAGCAAAUUUAUAACAAUGCAGGCCCUACCUUCGGACCGGCCUUGGAUGGUAGAUUUCUGUGUCUUAGAAUUUCUGUGUACUGUGAAUGCUUGUCUAUUUACCUCGCAUUGCAAUGACUCCUAAUUUCUGUUCCAGGUCCGCCACAAAGGGUCUUAUCUGGUGUUCUGCAUUCUUUUCUUUCAAGUGGCCGAGCUGGUGUGCCAUUUCAACCUGUCCCAGUACCAGCUCUUGGUUUGUCCGAAGCCGACAAACAAUGUAUACGUGAUCGCAGCUGCAUAAUGGCACGCCAUAUUUUGGCCGAUCAACCUGAAGAAUAUAUACAAGCACAGGUUAAGUUUUCUAACAUUUGUGACUGGAAUUGCCAUUGACCAUACAACUUUGCUCACAACACUUAUUUAUGUCCUUUUUCCAUUAGCUUAGCUCAGUAGUUUCCUGUUGACUUGCUUGACGUUCUAAGUUCCAUGUGCUGCUUAUGUUUCGUUGAUGAAUGUUUACUAGAAGAACAUUCAUGAAUGUAACACUUUUAUCCGUAUAUCAGGUGAAUACACUGCUGCAUUCUCUUGAUAUUGACAAUAGUCAUCGAAUGAAAAAUCCCCUGCAUGGGCCGUACCCAGAGAUGGAGGAGUACUGGAAUCAGUCCCAAAGUGCUUUGAGAUCUGGCCCAAUGCACAAUGCUGCAAAUAAUUGGAUUAGUGAGUUCGGCAAGCAAAACAAUAACCCUGAGGGUUGGAUCACUGAGUUUGGCAAGCAGAAUAAUAACCCUGAGGGUUGGGCGCACUCUUUUGAGCAGCAAUAUGGUCCCAAUGGAUGGGCCUCUGAGUUUGAACAGGUCAGAGCCUUCUAAAAGCCUGUUUGACAUUUUCACAACCAUCAAUUGCGAAGCAUGUUUUUUCAUUGUUUAUACUUACCAUAUGAGCAGACAACACAUCCUAGAGCCAAGUUCAGCCAUGCUGAAGAUACUGUUUAGCUUCUAGGCCAGUAUAACUAUGUUGCAAUUGGUACCGUUUUAUCUGGAUAAUCUGAUUGCCCAAUAAAUGAUGAUAUCUGGCUAUCUGUGUAUCCAAAUGCAAUUCUGGAUUUUAUUUGUAUCUGCACCAUGCGCUGCAGUAUUCUUGAGUUUGUUCUGUUUCUACUGGAAUUUUCUCGUAAACAUUAGAAAAUUAUGUUUUCCAUUUUCAUGAGUAAUACCAAUAUCCAACAGGAAACACAAUCCAAUAAGAAAGUUUGUUUGAGAAGGAUAUGUGUGUUUGGUUUAGUAUGCCAUUACCCAGUUGUAAUCUGAUAGUUUCCCUACCCUAUCCAUUGAGCGAGAUAUUAUGGUAUCUAUGAGUAACUGUAUGCUGUAUUUAGAAAUAUAGCUUAAGAUAUUCUUUGUAUAUGUAUGUGUGUGUAUUUUAGACAGUCUUAUGUAAACAUAGAAUUCUUACUUUUACUAAAUGUAGUUAUUCUAGAACAUGAGGUGAUAAAGGAUCACAUCCUUUCAAUAUCUCUCUUAAAUAUUAACUAGUUUUAGUUGGCUUAUAAAGUAAAAAAAAUAAAGCCUUGUAAUUUGUAUGGAAAUCUGCAUACUCGUCAUAAUUUAGUUUCCUUCUGCACGAGCAUGUUCAUUUGUGGGAUACAUGGCUUAAAUUAUGCUAUGUACUUUAUGUUGUCUCAGCAUCAGUCUCAGAUGGCCAUGGGUCAGAUGGGAGGAGCGAACAUGGCGAAUCUCGCAGCUAUGCAGCAAUCCCGUAUGCUUGCAGAAACAUUAUCAAGUAACAAUGACCCAAAGUUCCAGGUAUUUAUGAUGGCCUGGUUGUACAUGUAACUCUAUUUUGCUUGCACAUUGUUUUUACCCACUACAGUGAAAAUUUGCUUGAACAACAAUUCAUCAUAAUUUACUUUUCUUCAUAAGGAAAUAUCCUACUCAUGUUAUCUCUGUGAUUGAUGUGAUUGCAUUUGCAUCUUGAUAUGUUAGGCUAAACCUUAAUGUUCUAGAUUAGGUCUAACAGGCCUAAAGUAUCUCAAUGAAUCCUCCAAAAGUCAGAUCAAACCUCCUAAAUAGGAUCUUGCUUUCCAAACUGAUAGAGAAGAACCUCUAUUGGAUAUGCAGAAAUGAACUACAUAUUGUGGAUGAGUGCUGUAUUGUUUCUUCUUAUUGGCGUACGACACACUAUUGAUAUAUCGUGUUAUACCACACACGUGUCCAAUGUUUCUGUUUAUGUCAAAAACACUAUUUUUCAGUGGCAGUUGGGGUGAUAUGAAAUCCUAUUUAUUUAUUAUAUAUGUUCUGCCAGAUAUUCUACGGAUACCGCCUAUUACACUUCAUGGUUCAAACACUAAUUUUGUGGAUGUUGGAUCAUGAGGACUCUUUCUUAAGCCUGUAUCUUUCACCAGUAAUAAUAUUGUUUAUUUACAUUAAGUUAAUCAACUGUAUUGCUUGCAACCUUAUAUUAUACUCCGUAAAGGAAUAUAAGAGCGUUUAGAUCAUCUCUUUUAUUUCUUUACGGAGGGAGUACUAUAUAUAGGAUCAUCAUUAUGAUCGUCCUGUCUUAAGCACCUGAUGACACUUUCUUUUUCCUUUUUGGAAGAAUUCUAAAUUCUUCCAGUUUGUUUCAAAGAUGAGCCGUGGUGAACUUAUUAUAGAAGAUAACCAAGUAAAACAAGGUUCAGCAUCCCAAUCCAAUGGCUGGGCUGAUGAAUUUCAAACACAGCAUAAUGCUAAUGCAAAUUCUUGGGCAGAUCAGUUUGUGCAUGAAGAGGUAAUACCAGAGAGCUGGAUGCAUUUAAAUGAUUGUAUGGUGUGCUAAACGGGGUUUAGUUUUCACCUGAGAGCUGGAUGUGUGUAAAUUAAUGCAUUCCGUGGUCAAACGGGGUUCUAGUUUUUCCAGGCAAUGUAAAAAAUGGAACAGUGGUGUAAUAAUGGUAUCAUCAUUUAGCAACACUAGAUGAUGCCCCAAGCGUUGCUACAGGAAUCUUGUUAGAUUAUGCAUAAAUAGUUGCUUAAAAAACAUAUAAAACUAAUGGAAAGCAAAUGUAAGCUUAAAAAGGUGAAAAACAUGAAGCAUAUAAAAAGAGAAUAAAAAAUGAAUUCCAGUUAACAGAAUAUCAUUUCUAACAAAAAAUGUGAAGGAUGAAAUACGUCGGUAUGCUGCAAUCGCCCAAAACAUAUACUGUCAAUAUAAAAUCCAAUGAAAAAUAACUUAUAACUAACAUGCACAAAUUGAUGAUGUGGCAGCCCUGCAUGCAUAGAGUAAUGCGAAAAACAUGUAAUUUAUGACUUGCAUGGCUGGACUUGCUCAUGUGGCAUGCUUGCAUGUGUAGGAAAAAUAGGUAGUGGGUUGUAGCUAUUUAGGAAUAGUACAUUGAUGUCCCUUCUUUUACACUUACAUCUGCUGGGCACUGAUAAUUUUGCCUCACUAAUACUUGCUCUACAGCUUUCACAAGGGGCCGAUAAUUGGGUUAGUGAGUUCUCUAGUGAACAGAAUCAGAGUGGGCUCAAAGAGAAGUGGGUCGAUGAGUUCUCCAAAUUGAAUAUGGAUGAUUGGGCAGAGGAGUUCAGUGGAGGAGCUUUUGGUGAGAGCUCUGCUGAUCCAUGGGCAGAUGAGUAAGUACAAGUCUCUUGUUUCUGUGUCUUUUUGCUAAUAGUAUUAAGGUUGAGCCAACCUCUGUUGCUUCUUUCUUGAUAUGUUAUCUGACCAAUUUCUGUGUCAGAUUACUAAAAGAACCUAGAGCUUGGUUAAUAUUCAUUGAGAAGUCAUUUGUUUUUACCAUUGGUUGGUUAUGUUCUGUUUUACAGAAGCCCCUUACGCAUAGCAAUUGCAGCUUACCAUUAACUACUAUUGUACAUUGUUUGUAGGUUUCAAAACCAACUGUCAGCUUCCAAAAGUUCUGGCGCUUCUCGAGGGGUUUAUGUUUUUUCCGAGAUGAACCCAUAUGUUGGUCACCCUAAUCCAAUGCAGGAAGGGCAGGAGCUCUUUCGGAAGGGCCUCUUAAGUGAAGCUGCUCUUGCUCUGGAGGCUGAAGUUUUAAAGAACCCUGAUAAUGCUGAAGGUUGGAGGUUGCUUGGAGUAACACAUGCUGAAAAUGAUGAUGACCAGCAGGUAAUUGUGCCUCUCUCGUUAAUUUUAGAUGCUGUGAUGUUCUGAUGUUCAUAUGGCGAGUUAGGGAUGAAAAAUGGAGCGGAAACAGCCGGAAUUGAGGGAUGUCACAUUUGUUUUCAUAUUUUUUUUAGUGGGAGCAGAAACAAAUACAGAUACCCUGGGCAGGAGGUAUGGAGGGAAUACGGCACAUUCGCUGGAGCAAAAAGAACCCUUGAACUAUCCAGGCGUGGCGCGUAGGCGUCAGAGAUGUUUACCGGCGUAGAAGGGUGGAAAGUGGUGGUGAAAAUUUUGAAAUAUCCGAUAUCCAUAUUCGAGAAAACCCUAUAUUGCAAGUCAACAUUGGCAUCCAAACUAAAAUGAAAAUGGAUGUGGAAAAUAUCUGGAUUCUUUUUACAAAUACAAAUGUUGUAUGGGAUUUUGAAACAAAUGUGGAUAUGGAACUGGAUAUAUCCGUAUCCAAAAAAAAACAUGUUAGCCAAUUUAAGCAAUUCUAGCCCUAUAUGCUAAGUACUCCCUCCGUUUCUUUUUA
rnacentral:lncRNA from 1 species